AUUCUNCCCCUCUAUGACGCCCUGUUCCAAGGGACUUGUACACGGUCCGGCACAGAAAACACUUCUCCAGAUUACAACUCGGACAGCCAAAGGCUGCCAGAUUACAAAUUUGAGCUCUUCCCGCUUCACUCGCCGUUACUAGGGGAAUCCUUGUUAGUUUCUUUUCCUCUUGGUCAAUUUAGAGGAAGUAAAAGUCGUAACAAGGUUUCCGUAGGUGAACCUGCGGAAGGAUCAUUACAGUAAUUGGGUUGUCGCUCAAAGUAGCACGCCCUCCAUAUACACACACACCUUGUGCACUCUAUCUAUUACAGCCUGUCUCUAAUGCAUGUCUUGAUAAAUUCUACGGAAUAGAAUACAACUUUCAACAACGGAUCUCUUGGCUUUCGCAUCGAUGAAGGACGCCGCGAAAGUGCGAAACGUAAUGUGAAUUGCAGAAUUCAGUGAAUCAUCGAAUCUUUGAACGCAUCUUGCGCUCCUUGGUAUUCCGAGGAGCAUGCCUGUUUGAGUGUCGUGAAUCUCUCUCAAUCCCACCUCUGUGGGCUUGGAUUUGGAUGCUUGCUGUGGGGGGUUUGACCUCUUUCGGCUCGUCUUGAAAUUCAUCAGCUGGUCCGCCUAUGAGUUUGGUGGUGUGAUAAGAAACACUUGUAGCGCCAUUUCUAAGCUCGGGGGAGUUGACUGCUUUCAAUUUCAUUUUUGUUUGACCUCAAAUCAGGUAGGACYACCCGCUGAACUUAAGCAUAUCAAUAAGCGGAGGAAAAGAAACUAACAAGGAUUCCCCUAGUAACGGCGAGUGAAGCGGGAAGAGCUCAAAUUUGUAAUCUGGCAGCCUUUGGCUGUCCGAGUUGUAAUCUGGAGAAGUGUUUUCUGUGCCGGACCGUGUACAAGUCCCUUGGAACAGGGCGUCAUAGAGGGGGAAGAAUCCANGUUACUACUAUUACUUCCUCUAAAAGACNNAGAA
rnacentral:rRNA from 1 species